CGGUAAUACGUAGGUGGCAAGCGUUGUCCGGGAUUUAUUGGGCGUAAAGCGAGCGCAGGCGGAAGAAUAAGUCUGAUGUGAAAGCCCUCGGCUUAACCGAGGAACUGCAUCGGAAACUGUUUUUCUUGAGUGCAGAAGAGGAGAGUGGAACUCCAUGUGUAGCGGUGGAAUGCGUAGAUAUAUGGAAGAACACCAGUGGCGAAGGCGGCUCUCUGGUCUGCAACUGACGCUGAGGCUCGAAAGCAUGGGUAGCGAACAGGAUUAGAUACCCUGGUAGUCCAUGCCGUAAACGAUGAGUGCUAAGUGUUGGGAGGUUUCCGCCUCUCAGUGCUGCAGCUAACGCAUUAAGCACUCCGCCUGGGGAGUACGACCGCAAGGUUGAAACUCAAAGGAAUUGACGGGGGCCCGCACAAGCGGUGGAGCAUGUGGUUUAAUUCGAAGCAACGCGAAGAACCUUACCAGGUCUUGACAUCUAGUGCCAUUUGUAGAGAUACAAAGUUCCCUUCGGGGACGCUAAGACAGGUGGUGCAUGGCUGUCGUCAGCUCGUGUCGUGAGAUGUUGGGUUAAGUCCCGCAACGAGCGCAACCCUUGUUAUUAGUUGCCAGCAUUAAGUUGGGCACUCUAAUGAGACUGCCGGUGACAAACCGGAGGAAGGUGGGGAUGACGUCAAGUCAUCAUGCCCCUUAUGACCUGGGCUACACACGUGCUACAAUGGGCAGUACAACGAGAAGCGAGCCUGCGAAGGCAAGCGAAUCUCUGAAAGCUGUUCUCAGUUCGGACUGCAGUCUGCAACUCGACUGCACGAAGCUGGAAUCGCUAGUAAUCGCGGAUCAGCACGCCGCGGUGAAUACGUUCCCGGGCCUUGUACACACCGCCCGUCACACCAUGGGAGUCUGCAAUGCCCAAAGCCGGUGGCCUAACCUUCGGGAAGGAGCCGUCUAAGGCAGGGCAGAUGACUGGGGUGAAGUCG
rnacentral:rRNA from 1 species